GAACCAGCGAGAGGUUCCCCACUCUUCUUUGAUCCGUCUGAGGGCCAAGUGGCAGCCUCGACCCGACCGGAAGUGUGAUGUGUCUGGAAACUUGGGAUCAUAAAUGGAUUCGGGUAACAUUCUGAUCGCCUUUCUUUGGGUGGUACAUUGCUUUUAAAAGUCUAA
rnacentral:rRNA from 1 species